CUACAUAGUUAGGGCAUUGCAUCAACUUAACAUUAAAGCAUAACCACACCUCAUAUAAGUUCUCACCACUAAAUUAAUGAACAUUUGUGAUUUUAUCUCUUAGUUG
rfam:Capsicum annuum cultivar Zunla-1 chromosome 2, whole genome shotgun sequence